GUCCCACCAGAGAGUUGCCAAGCUCCGCGAUCCUAGAAGGGACGCGGGGAGAGGGACACUUAGCUUGGCGUCCGCGAGUCGGCCAGAGGACGCCUCCGAGACUGAGGGGGGAUCUCCGGUCAAGCCAGGGAACCCGAGUGGGGAGCCCAGCCCCGUGGCUGCCGCGGUGGAGGAGGCGCGGCGGAGUGUCGAAGACGACGGCAGUUCAGCCUGACAGCCUGGAUCCUACCCUUGUCAAAGAAAGGCCAUGGAAACGAUGUUCCCGACAGCCAAGAGGAAGCCAGUUUUUCAGGAGUUGCUAUCAUUUGAGGAUGUGGCGAUGUACUUCACCAGAGAGGAGUGGGGCCACCUUGACUGGGCUCAAAAGGACCUCUACAGAGAUGUGAUGCUGGAGAACUACAGCAACAUGAUCUUGUUGGACGGUGUGACUCCAUUUCAUAGCAAUAUUGUGUUAAACCUGGCUGCGUGCCUGUGUUCCAACCAAUAGAACGAGACUAGGUCAGAAAUUCCCAGGAGAUCUUGGAAGCCAUAUAUUGAAGAUGGCAGGGCGGCGCCUGUGGCUCUCAGGGUGUAGGGCACUGGCCCCAUAUGCCGGACGUGGCAGGUUCAAACCCAGCCCCUGCCAAAAACUGCAAAAAAAAAGAAGCUGGCAGAGGUGCCGUCAGAUGUCCUCCUUGGAGGAGAGCCACUCUCAGUCAUGGACAUUUGCAUCAAACUGUUACAUGGAUGAAAACUAAAUUUGUAUUCUGUUUAAGCAACCACACCUUUAGAGUCUGUCAGAGCUAUUAUCUUUAAGCUAACUUACUACAUGUUUUGUUUAAGAAAUGUUCCAUUAAUCUGUCUAAGUGUGGAAUCUCAUGCCUACAGUCUCACCAGUUUGGGAGGCUUGUGUGAGAGGACUGCUUGAGGACGGGAGCUGAAGAUGAGCCUGAGCAACAUACUGAGAUCCUAUCACUACAACAAAUACAAAAAAUUAGGUACAGUAGGGUGGCGCCUAUGGCUCAAAGGGCUGGGGUGCCGGCCCCAUAUGCCGGAGGUGGUGGGUUCAAACCCAGCCCUGCCCAAAAACUAUAAAAAAAAAAUUAGGUAUUGUGGCCAUGGCAGUAGUAUUAGCUAUUUGGGAGGCUGAGCCAGGAUGAUUGCUUGAACCUGGGAUUUGUAAGUGCAGCGAGCUAUGUACUCCUGCCUGGGUGACAAUGAGACCCUGUCUCACAAAAAUUAUUUUUAUUAAUCUGAGGCCAGAACAAUAUCUCUUAGGGUUUCUUCCAAAGGAUCAGAACCAUUUUUAUUUAUUUAUUUACUUAUUUUUGAGACAGAGCCUCAAGCUGUCCCCCUGGGUAGAGUGCUGUGGCAUCACAGCUCACAGCAACCUCCAAUUCCUGGGCUCAAGCGAGUCUCCUGCCUCUGCCUCCCAAGUAGCUGGGACCACAGGCGCCUACCACAAUGCCCGGCUAUUUCUGUUGCAGCCGUCAUUGUUGUUUGGCAGGCCCGGGUUGGAUUUGACGCGCCAGCUCCGGUGCAUGAGGCUGACGCCUUAGCUGCUUGAGCCACAGGCCCCCAGCCAAUCAAAAGCAUUUUAGUAAAGAACUGAAUGAAUUGGCAGCACCUGUGGCUCAGUGGGUAGAGUGCCAGCCCCAUAUGCCGAGGUGGCGGGUUCAAACCCGACCCCACUCAAAAUGCAACAACAACAACAAAAAUAGCUGGGCAUUGUGGCAGGCACCUGUUGUCCUAGCUACUCGGGAGGCUGAGGCAAGAAGAUGGCCUAAGCCCAGGA